GCCCUUAGAGUUUGAUCAUGGCUCAGGAUGAACGCUAGCGGCAGGCUUAACACAUGCAAGUCGAACGGUAACAGGGGUAGCAAUACCUGCUGACGAGUGGCGCACGGGUGAGUAACGUGUAUGCAACCUGCCCUGUACUGGGGGAUAGCUUGGAGAAAUCCGGAUUAAUACCCCAUAAUAAUAAUACCAGGCAUCUGGUUUUAUUUAAAGCUCCGGCGGUACGGGAUGGGCAUGCGUGCCAUUAGUUUGCUGGUGAGGUAACGGCUCACCAGGACUUCGAUGGCUAGGGGGUCUGAGAGGAUGAUCCCCCACACUGGUACUGAGACAUGGACCAGACUCCUACGGGAGGCAGCAGUGAGGAAUAUUGGUCAAUGGACGAGAGUCUGAACCAGCCAUGCCGCGUGCAGGAUGACGGCCCUAUGGGUUGUAAACUGCUUUUGUAUGGGAAGAACCCCCUGAUCGUGAUCAGGGCUGACUGUACUGUACGAAUAAGCAUCGGCUAACUCCGUGCCAGCAGCCGCGGUAAUACGGA
rnacentral:rRNA from 1 species